GCUUGUCUCAAAGAUUAAGCCAUGCAUGUGUAAGUAUAGUAUCAUACGGCGAAACUGCGAAUGGCUCCUUAAAACAGUUAUAAUUUAUUUGAUGGAUAAAGAUAUGGAUAACCGUAGUAAUUCUAGAGCUAAUACAUGCGUGAAAGCCUGACUCACGAAGGGCUGUAUUUAUUAGAUAAAGCCAACAUUUAGGUGAUUCAUAAUAACUUAGCGGAUCGCGGACAUUGUCCGCGACGUGUCAUUCAAGUAUCUGCCCUAUCAGCUUUGAUGGUAGUGUAUUGGACUACCAUGGCAUUAACGGGUAACGGGGAAUUAGGGUUCGGUUCCGGAGAAAGAGCCUGAGAAACGGCUAUUACAUCUAAGGAAGGCAGCAGG
rnacentral:rRNA from 1 species